rnacentral:lncRNA from 1 species
CUUUAGUUGAACCCAGGUACCUUUCUCUUUGGCUUCUUUCUUUUUCUGAUCAUUUUCCUUCACACGUUUCAGGAAGCUAUCUCGGCUCUUAGAGUGCUUAAUGUGCUCAAUACGCACAUUAAUUCUCUUGGCAAGAAUCUUGCCCUUAACUUGUUUGUUUACAACAAUGCCAACAGCAUGCUGGGUAACAUUGUAGACUCUUCCAGUUUUGCCAUGGUAACACUUGUGGGGCAUUCCUUUUUGAACAGUACCCAUUCCCUUGAUGUCUACAAUAUCACCUUUCUUAUAGAUUCGCAUAUAUGUGGCCAAAGGAACAACUCCAUGUUUUCUAAAAGGCCUAGAGAACAUAUAUCGGGUGCCUCUCCUCUUUCCCUUUGUGUUCGUCAUUUUGGCGAAUUACUGGAAGAUGGCGGUUCCGGCCGAAAGGGCAAGAUGCAUAUUGGAUAUCUAAAUAGAGAUAUCAAGAAAUGAAGAUAUGCAUUUCCAGUUCCAGAGAGAAAUUCACACUGGAAAUAUAAAUUUAGGAAUUUUAAAGUUAGUGGUCACAUUUAAAGCUGCAGAAUACAAAGAGAUCACCUGUGUGAGAGAACUGAGUCCUGAAACAUACCCGUGUUUAAAGAUCUGGGAGGUGCAGAGGAAUUAUCAAAGGAGGCUGAGAAGGAGCAGCCAGUGAGAUAAGCAAAAAGAAAAGCAAGAGAUAUGGAACUGAACUUCCCUUUGGCAAAAAAUUUAGAAAAUGAUAAUGAGGGCCCCAUGGACCAAGACUUGCUGAAGAAACAAAGAAAAGAUAGAAUACCUGGCAUAGAGGGGGCCAUCAGAAUUCUGCUUCAAUGCUGUGGCUAUUUUUAUUCUUAUUGGUCAGCAACC